UGCCAGCCGCCGCGGUAAUACGGAGGGUGCAAGCGUUAAUCGGAAUUACUGGGCGUAAAGCGCAUGCAGGUGGAUGAUUAAGUCAGAUGUGAAAGCCCGGGGCUCAACCUCGGAAUAGCAUUUGAAACUAUUGAACUUGAGGUAUAAAGGGGCAGAUGGAAUUCCAGAAGUAGGGGUAAAAUCCGUAGAUCUCUGGAGGAACACCAAACGCGAAGGCAUUCUGCUGGUCAUUACCUGACGCUGAGGGACGAAAGCGUGGGGAGCGAACGGGAUUAGAUA
rnacentral:rRNA from 1 species